rnacentral:rRNA from 1 species
UACAGAGGGUGCAAGCGUUGUUCGGAAUUAUUGGGCGUAAAGAGCUCGUAGGCGGUUUGUCGCGUCUGCUGUGAAAACUCAGGGCUUGACCCUGAGCCUGCAGUGGGUACGGGCAGACUAGAGUGUGGUAGGGGAGAUCGGAAUUCCUGGUGUAGCGGUGGAAUGCGCAGAUAUCAGGAGGAACACCGGUGGCGAAGGCGGAUCUCUGGGCCAUAACUGACGCUGAGGAGCGAAAGCAUGGGGAGCGAACAGG